GAUGAACGCUGGCGGCGUGCCUAAUACAUGCAAGUCGAGCGAACAGACGAGGAGCUUGCUCCUCCGACGUUAGCGGCGAACGGGUGAGUAACACGUGGAUAACCUACCUAUAAGACUGGGAUAACUUCGGGAAACCGGAGCUAAUACCGGAUAAUAUAUUGAACCGCAUGGUUCAAUAGUGAAAGACGGUUUUGCUGUCACUUAUAGAUGGAUCCGCGCCGCAUUAGCUAGUUGGUAAGGUAACGGCUUACCAAGGCAACGAUGCGUAGCCGACCUGAGAGGGUGAUCGGCCACACUGGAACUGAGACACGGUCCAGACUCCUACGGGAGGCAGCAGUAGGGAAUCUUCCGCAAUGGGCGAAAGCUUGACGGAGCAACGCCGCGUGAGUGAUGAAGGUCUUCGGAUCGUAAAACUCUGUUACUAGGGAAGAACAAAUGUGUAAGUAACUAUGCACGUCUUGACGGUACCUAAUCAGAAAGCCACGGCUAACUACGUG
rnacentral:rRNA from 1 species